rnacentral:rRNA from 1 species
GAUGAACGCUGGCGGCGUGCUUAACACAUGCAAGUCGAACGAGAAAUGUAGACGGAAACCUUCGGGCGGAAGCCUUCAUUUCGAGUGGCGGACGGGUGAGUAACGCGUGGGUAACCUGCCUCAUACAGGGGGAUAACAGUUGGAAACGACUGUUAAUACCGCAUAAGACCACAGCAUCGCAUGAUGCGGGGGUAAAAACUCCGGUGGUAUGAGAUGGACCCGCGUUCGAUUAGCCAGUUGGCGGGGUAACGGCCCACCAAAGCGACGAUCGAUAGCCGAUCUGAGAGGAUGACCGGCCACAUUGGGACUGAGACACGGCCCAAACUCCUACGGGAGGCAGCAGUGGGGAAUAUUGCACAAUGGGGGAAACCCAGAUGCAGCGACGCCGCGUGAGUGAAGAAGUACUUCGGUAUGUAAAGCUCUAUCAGCAGGGAAGAAAAUGACGGUACCUGAGUAAGAAGCCCCGGCUAACUACGUG